AACGAACGCUGGCGGCAGGCCUAACACAUGCAAGUCGAACGGUCAUAGCAAUAUGAUAGUGGCGCACGGGUGAGUAACGCGUGGGAAUAUACCCUUUAGUAUGGAAUAACCUCGGGAAACUGGGAUUAAUACCAUAUACGCCCUUCGGGGGAAAGAUUUAUCGCUAAAGGAUUAGCCCGCGUGAGAUUAGGUAGUUGGUGGGGUAAUGGCCUACCAAGCCUACGAUCUCUAGCUGGUCUGAGAGGAUGAUCAGCCACACUGGAACUGAGACACGGUCCAGACUCCUACGGGAGGCAGCAGUGGGAAUAUUGGGCAAUGGGCGCAAGCCUGACCCAGCCAUGCCGCGUGUGUGAUGAAGGCCCUAGGGUUGUAAAGCACUUUCGUUGGUGACGAUAAUGACGGUAACCAAAGAAGAAGCCCCGGCUAACUUCGUGCCAGCCGCCGCCGUAA
rnacentral:rRNA from 1 species